rnacentral:rRNA from 1 species
GUUAUAUGGUCAAGCGAAUAAGCGCACACGGUGGAUGCCUAGGCGGUCAGAGGCGAUGAAGGACGUGGUAGCCUGCGAAAAGUGUCGGGGAGCUGGCAACAAGCUUUGAUCCGGCAAUAUCCGAAUGGGGAAACCCACUGCUUCGGCAGUAUCCUGCAGUGAAUUCAUAGCUGCUGGAAGCGAACCCGGUGAACUGAAAUAUCUAAGUAACCGGAGGAAAAGAAAUCAACCGAGAUUCCCUAAGUAGUGACGAGCGAACGGGGAGCAGCCCUUAAGCUGGAAUGGCUUUAGAAAAACAAUCUGGAAAGAUUGGCCAUAGAAGGUGAUAGCCCUGUAUUUAAAAGGGCCACUCCAGUGAAGACGAGUAGGGCGGGGCACGUGAAACCCUGUCUGAAUAUGGGGGGACCAUCCUCCAAGGCUAAAUACUCCUGACCGACCGAUAGUGAACCAGUACCGUGAGGGAAAGGCGAAAAGAACCCCGGAGAGGGGAGUGAAAUAGAUCCUGAAACCGUGUGCGUACAAGCAGUAGGAGCUCGCAAGAGUGACUGCGUACCUUUUGUAUAAUGGGUCAGCGACUUACUGUUCGUGGCAAGCUUAACCGUAUAGGGGAGGCGAAGGGAAACCGAGUCUGAUAAGGGCGCAUAGUCGCGGGCAGUAGACCCGAAACCGGGUGAUCUAGUCAUGGCCAGGGUGAAGGUGCCGUAACAGGUACUGGAGGCCCGAACCCACGUCUGUUGCAAAAGACGGGGAUGAGCUGUGAUUAGGAGUGAAAAGCUAAUCGAACCCGGAGAUAGCUGGUUCUCCUCGAAAGCUAUUUAGGUAGCGCCUCGGACGAAUACUACUGGGGGUAGAGCACUGUUAUGGCUAGGGGGUCAUCGCGACUUACCAAACCAUUGCAAACUCCGAAUACCAGUACGUACUAUCCGGGAGACACACGGCGGGUGCUAACGUCCGUCGUGAAAAGGGAAACAACCCAGACCCACAGCUAAGGUCCCAAAUUCACUGCUAAGUGGAAAACGAUGUGGAAAGGCAUAGACAGCCAGGAGGUUGGCUUAGAAGCAGCCACCCUUUAAAGAAAGCGUAAUAGCUCACUGGUCGAGUCGGUCUGCGCGGAAGAUUUAACGGGGCUAAGCAGUGAACCGAAGCUUGGGGCGCAUAAAAAUUGUUUUAUGCGCGGUAGAGGAGCGUUCCGUAAGCCUGCGAAGGUGGAUUGAGAAGUCUGCUGGAGGUAUCGGAAGUGCGAAUGCUGACAUGAGUAACGAUAAUGCGGGUGAAAAGCCCGCACGCCGAAAGCCCAAGGUUUCCUUGCGCAACGUUAAUCGACGCAGGGUUAGUCGGUCCCUAAGGCGAGGGCGAAAGCCGUAGUCGAUGGGAAGCAGGUUAAUAUUCCUGCACCUCGCGUGAGUGCGAUGGAGGGACGGAGAAGGUUAGGUGUACCGGGCGUUGGUUGUCCCGGGGAAAGGCGGUAGGUUUGGAUCUUUGGCAAAUCCGGGAUCCUUUAAGACCGAGCACCGAGACGAGCCUUUAUGGCGAAGUCACUGAUACCACGCUUCCAGGAAAAGCUCCUAAGCUUCAGCUCACGAAGACCGUACCGUAAACCGACACAGGUGGGUAGGAUGAGAAUUCUCAGGCGCUUGAGAGAACUCGGGUGAAGGAACUAGGCAACAUGGCACCGUAACUUCGGGAGAAGGUGCACCCUUUUUGGUGGCUCAUGCGAGCUAUAGCUGAAGAGGGUCGCAGAAACCAGGCCGCUGCGACUGUUUAUCAAAAACACAGCACUCUGCAAACACGAAAGUGGACGUAUAGGGUGUGACGCCUGCCCGGUGCUGGAAGGUUAAUUGAUGGGGUCAGCCGCAAGGCGAAGCUCUUGAUCGAAGCCCCAGUAAACGGCGGCCGUAACUAUAACGGUCCUAAGGUAGCGAAAUUCCUUGUCGGGUAAGUUCCGACCUGCACGAAUGGCGUAACGACAGCGGCGCUGUCUCCACCCGAGACUCAGUGAAAUUGAAAUCGCUGUGAAGAUGCAGCGUUCCCGUGGCAAGACGGAAAGACCCCGUGAACCUUUACUAUAGCUUUACACUGAACGUUGAGUUCGUCUGUGUAGGAUAGGUGGGAGGCUAUGAAACUGUGGCGCUAGCUGCAGCGGAGCCAUCCUUGAAAUACCACCCUGUCGUGCUUGACGUUCUAACCUAGGUCCGUUAUCCGGAUCAGGGACCGUGUAUGGUGGGUAGUUUGACUGGGGCGGUCUCCUCCUAAAGAGUAACGGAGGAGCACGAAGGUACGCUCAGCGCGGUCGGACAUCGCGCACUGUGUGCAAAGGCAUAAGCGUGCUUGACUGCAAGAUCGACGGAUCAAGCAGGUACGAAAGUAGGUCUUAGUGAUCCGGUGGUUCUGUAUGGAAGGGCCAUCGCUCAACGGAUAAAAGGUACUCCGGGGAUAACAGGCUGAUACCGCCCAAGAGUUCAUAUCGACGGCGGUGUUUGGCACCUCGAUGUCGGCUCAUCACAUCCUGGGGCUGUAGUCGGUCCCAAGGGUAUGGCUGUUCGCCAUUUAAAGUGGUACGCGAGCUGGGUUCAGAACGUCGUGAGACAGUUCGGUCCCUAUCUGCCAUGGGCGUUGGAAGUUUGAGAGGGGCUGCUCCUAGUACGAGAGGACCGGAGUGGACGAACCUCUGGUGUUCCGGUUGUCACGCCAGUGGCAUUGCCGGGUAGCUAUGUUCGGAAGCGAUAACCGCUGAAAGCAUCUAAGCGGGAAGCGCGCCUCAAGAUGAGACUUCCCGGGGCACAAGCCCCCUAAAGGAACCAUGUAGACUACGUGGUUGAUAGGUCAGGUGUGUAAGUACAGCAAUGUAUUGAGCUAACUGAUACUAAUGAUCCGUGCGGCUUGACCAUAUAACCU